rnacentral:hammerhead_ribozyme from 1 species
AUUCAGCUGACGAGUCCCGAAUAGAACGAAACGCGCAUCUUGGAU